UGCUAGGCGGGAUGCCGCGUAUGGGAAGUUCGCAGAGUGGCUUACGGCUCGUUCAAGUACCUAUUGAACAUAGUCCAAGUACCCAUAGAGGGUGUAAGGCCCGUUCGACGAGUCGUAAGUGUCUCCCGCGUUCUUCUCGAGAGUCGGGUUGCUUGAAAAUGCAGCCCUAAGAGGUGGUAAACUCCAUCUAAGGCUAAAUACUACCACGAGACCGAUAGCGAACAAGUACCGCGAGGGAAAGUUGAAAAGAACUUUGAAGAGAGAGUUCAAUAGAGCGUGAAACUGCCACGAGGUUAAAGCGGAUGGACAGUCGUGGCAGAACGGGGGGAUUCAGCUCCCCGGACGUUUGGGAGGCCCUCACGACGUGACGACCGACUCCUCGGCAUUCUCUUCUGGUACUUCGUUGCCAGGGUUUGUGUAGGGGAGGUUCAAACUGGCGUCCGUCGAGAGAGUUAGUCUCCUCGUCACAGGGGGGUUGUACCUUUCACCUUAGUAAGCCGUCGCGGGCGUUGCGAGCGUUGUCAAUCAAACCCUGAGUUCGGGAACCGAUCCUUAAAGCCUCUUUCUUUCUCUCUCUCACGAGAGUGAGGGAGGGGUGAGUACGGGCCGGGGACGCUCCAGGGAAUUUAGGACGGACCUCGCGACGUUUCAAAUUAGGAGACGGGUCGGUCUUUCUGAAUAUCAUCGGAGGGAUAGGGGGGUAUGUGUUCAUCACUAUCCCCCGACCCCCCUCGAUUAAGCGUUCCGACCCGUGCGCGGCGCAUAUACGGCGCACGUCCAUCCGUCCCGUCUUGAAACACGGACCAAGGAGUCUAGCAAGUACGCGAGUCAUAAGGGUUCACUAAACCUUAGAUGGCGUAACGAAAGUAAUGUUGUUAUCGUUCUCGUAACGAGAGCAAUGGGUUAUCAAAAAACCCGAGUUGGACCGAUCCCCUCGGAAAUGCCUCGUUAGAACCCCUCUCCGGGGGGCGUUCUCUCGCGGCCGCUGCCGACUAAUGAGGGGCGCAGGUCCGGGGCCCGCCAUUCAUAUCCUCUUUCUCUCUAUAUAUAUACUUGAGAAGACGGUAGGCGGGUUCCAAGAGCGUACGUGCUAGUACCCGAAAGAUGGUGAUCUAUGCCUGGCCAGGAUGAAGCCAGAGGAAACUCUGGUGGAGGUCCGUAGCGGUUCUGACGUGCAAAUCG
rnacentral:rRNA from 1 species